UACUAUGUUACGACUUAUCUCAUCUUAAUACGAGAGUGACGGGCGAUGUGUGCACAAUCUAGAGCUAUUAUCAAAAAAAUAAAUCUUAUUAUUAAUUACUAUUAAAUCCUCCUUCAUAAAACUAUUUCAAUUCAUAAUCCAUUAUAUUUUAUAAAUAUUGUAAUCCAUCAUCACUUAAUUAUACUGCACCUUGACCUGAAAUAAAAUCAACUUUAAUUUAAAGAAAAUUCUACCCCUAAAAAAAUCUUCAAUUAAACGGCGAUAUACAUAUUAAAUAGAUUAAGUAAGGUUCAACGCGGAUUAUCGAUAACGAGACAGAUUCCUCUAACCAGACUAGAAUACCGCCAAAUUCUUUAAGUUUCAAGCCCAUAACUCAUACUACUCAAAUUAACAAAUUUAAAUCUAAAAUAAUAGGGUAUCUAAUCCUAGUUU
rnacentral:rRNA from 1 species